rnacentral:lncRNA from 1 species
CUGUGGAUCUGAGAGAGGAAUAUGUUGAAUAAGAUCAUAAUUAACUGAUCCUCCUGUAUUUUCUUUAACCCGAAGCCAUGAACUUUCCAAUACCCCUGUAAGUUGACGCAAAUAUGGAAGGAAAACCUUUAAUGACAUAAAAUAUAAAACAAAACAUGAAGACAUUAAAAUGGGGAUGAAUAACAAUGCUAUUGAUGACAAUGAAGAAAUUAUAUGACUACAGCUUCAGAUCCUAUCGACAUUCCCUGGAUGGACUAUUUUAUACACAAGAGUAUAAUGAUUCAAAUCCAAUGGAAAGCAAUAAGCAGAGAUGACUUCAUCAGGCAAUGUGUCAUACUUGAUGAUAUUAUUUGUGACAAGAUUUGUCAUAGCCUGAAUGUCGAGCAGUGCUAGCAUGAGGCAAAUGGUUUGCUUGCUGCAUCUCAUGGGAUACUUUUACUAUUAC